rnacentral:rRNA from 1 species
AUUGAACGCUGGCGGCAGGCCUAACACAUGCAAGUCGAGCGAGCGGCGGACGGGUGAGUAAUGUCUGGGAAACUGCCUGAUGGAGGGGGAUAACUACUGGAAACGGUAGCUAAUACCGCAUACCAUCAGAUGUGCCCAGAUGGGUUUAGCUAGUAGGUGGGGUAACGGCUCACCUAGGAGACGAUCCCUAGCUGGUCUGAGAGGAUGACCAGCAAAAUGGGAACUGAGACAAGGUCCGGACUCCUACGGGAGGAAGCAGGGGGGAAGAUUGCACAAUGGGAGCAAGCCUGAUGCAGCCAUGCCGCGGGUGGGAAGAAGGCCUUCGGGUUGUAAAGCACUUUCAGCGGGGAGGCGGUACCCGCAGAAGAAGCACCGGCUAACUCCGUGCCAGCCGCCGCGGUAAUUC